rnacentral:rRNA from 1 species
UACGGAGGGUGCAAGCGUUGUUCGGAAUCACUGGGCGUAAAGCGCGUGUAGGCGGUCUGUUAAGUCUGAUGUGAAAGCCCGGGGCUCACCCCCGGAAGUGCAUUGGAAACUGCCAGACUGGAGUCCCGGAGAGGAGGGUUGAAUUCCUGGUGUAGCGGUGAAAUGCGUAGAUAUCAGGAGGAACACCGGUGGCGAAGGCGGCCCUCUGGACGGUGACUGACGCUGAGACGCGAAAGCGUGGGGAGCAAACAGG